rnacentral:rRNA from 1 species
GUACGGGAGGCAGCAGUAGGGAAUCUUCCGCAAUGGACGAAAGUCUGACGGAGCAACGCCGCGUGAGCGAUGAAGGCCUUCGGGUCGUAAAGCUCUGUUGUUAGGGAAGAACAAGUAUCGGAGUAACUGCCGGUACCUUGACGGUACCUAACCAGAAAGCCACGGCUAACUACGUGCCAGCAGCCGCGGUAAUACGUAGGUGGCAAGCGUUGUCCGGAAUUAUUGGGCGUAAAGCGCGCGCAGGCGGUCCUUUAAGUCUGAUGUGAAAGCCCACGGCUCAACCGUGGAGGGUCAUUGGAAACUGGGGGACUUGAGUGCAGAAGAGGAAAGCGGAAUUCCACGUGUAGCGGUGAAAUGCGUAGAGAUGUGGAGGAACACCAGUGGCGAAGGCGGCUUUCUGGUCUGUAACUGACGCUGAGGCGCGAAAGCGUGGGGAGCAAACAGGAUUAGAUACCCCGGUAGUCCC